AGAUUUACCACACUUCAUUAAAAACAGAUUUGCUUGUGGAUUCCCUAAAGACUGGGAACUGUUAAGAAGAAAGUGGAUCAUGUUUUAAAAGCAGAUGAGACUCCUUCAUCAGUCAUAAACCGUGUGGCAGACAAUAGCAAAGAGAAAAAUAGCAAUGAACCAGAGAAACUAUGUAAUGGUCAAGGCUCUAAUGCUUUGCCUGCUAUGAAAAGCAACAGAGUACAAAGUGUAGGUGACAAGAGAAAAUGUGAGGUGUAGAACAAUCCAGAGGUAGUACCACCAAAAAGGAUAAGAAAUGCAGUCAACUCAAAACAAAAGAAAGAAUUAGUUGACAGAAAUGUAAAGAAAACUAAAAAAGAAUGACAGCCAUCUGUACCUGGCUCAGACAAAGGUGUGAAUAGUGAUUCUUUAGAUGGCAAUAACUGUCUUCUAAUGACAUA